GCGUCUGCAAAAUCAGGCGUCGGGAUUGGAACCCCGGAUUAUUCAUACUGGCGACACAUUUUUU
rnacentral:sRNA from 16 species